rnacentral:rRNA from 1 species
AUUGAACGCUGGCGGCAGGCCUAACACAUGCAAGUCGAACGGUAACAGGAAGAAGCUUGCUUCUUUGCUGACGAGUGGCGGACGGGUGAGUAAUGUCUGGGAAACUGCCUGAUGGAGGGGGAUAACUACUGGAAACGGUAGCUAAUACCGCAUAACGUCUCAAGCCCAAAGAGGGGGACCUUCGGGCCUCUUGCCAUCGGCUGUGCCCAGAUGGGAUUAGCUAGUAGGUGGGGUAACGGCUCACCUAGGCGACGAUCCCUAGCUGGUCUGAGAGGAUGACCAGCCACACUGGAACUGAGACACGGUCCAGACUCCUACGGGAAGCAGCAGUGGGGAAUAUUGCACAAUGGGCGCAAGCCUGAUGCAGCCAUGCCGCGUGUAUGAAGAAGGCCUUCGGGUUGUAAAGUACUUUCAGCGGGGAGGAAGGGAGUAAAGUUAAUACCUUUGCUCAUUGACGGUACCCGCAGAAGAAGCACCGGCUAACUCCGUG